rnacentral:rRNA from 1 species
UACGUAGGUCCCAAGCGUUAUCCGGAUUUACUGGGCGUAAAGUGUACGUAGCCUGAUAUGUAAGUCUGUUUUCAAAUACCUCGACUCAAUCGAGGAAAGGGAAUAGAUACUGCACAUCUAGAGAUAUUUGGGGGUUAGUGGAAUUUCCGGUGGAGCGGUGAAAUGCGUUGAUAUCGGAAAGAACGCCAAAAGCGAAAGCAGCUAACUACAAUACAUCUGACGGUGAGGUACGAAAGUUUGGGGAGCAAACGGG